CGAUUAUGUAAAGGAUCAAGUUAUAAUUUUCUUUGCAAAACAUUAUAUAAAUUAAAAUCGCUCUAUAUCUAUGAACAUGAACUAACACGGACGAAUAAGAACAUUUAGCAUAAAAAUAAUGUCUCUACCUAUGGAUCGUUUGCAGAUGAGAAAGGUUUAAUAGGAGGAGACAUCUGGAAGGGCGAGUGCAAGUAUUCCGUUAUUUCGGCGGCAAUAGUGGAGGAAUACGGUUUGAAGACAUUAGUUAGGUGACUUGCAGACAAGUUGGCUUCUUGUAUAGGGCUACGCGCCCAUCCACCUUGUGGACAGCGAAUUGGAGGGAUUAUUUGCGGAGGACGAGUGAGUUUCCUGGAUGCCUUCCAUAGUAUAUUGAGGCUGAUGUUGAAUGAGAUGUUGAUGAGAGCAGCCAGUUUGUGAGUUGGUUAUGAAUAAAGCCAUUAGGUUGAUUUUCGAUAAUUGUUGAGUUAAUUGUUGCUAUGACGGGUGAAUGAUCUGAAGAGAGUUCCACAGAAGAGUUGAUUUGGAUAUAUCUUGGCGAGAUGUUUUUAGUUAUAAAGAAGUCUAAUAAGUCAGAUAGUUUGUUAGUGUCAGUGAGCCAGUAAGUGGGUUCGUUUGUACUGAGGUCUCCGAGGAAUUUAUCGAAGUCUUCUUUGGAAAUAGAAUGUCUAGGAGGGCAAUAUACUGCUGAUGUGGGUACUUUAAGUCAAAAUUAUAUCCAGAAACCACAUAAAUCGAAAGCAAAUCAUAUAAUAGAAGUAAUAGAAAAUAAAGGGGGAUGUACCCAUUAUUAAAUAAGUAUAUAUGUUUGAUAAGUAAUUAUGACGAAAAACUUUACACGCGUCAUUGAGAAAUUAAAGAUAGCUCACAUGGGCCAUCUCUUUGACGAGGAGUGUAAACAAGAGAUCGUUGCCUGGCCGCCACAUACGAAGGACAAAGGCACCAAGAAGCAGUCAUCAAGAGUAGGAUUAUUCCUCCGCUUUAUGAUACUCCCAGCUGAUGGUAUGACCGCCGGAUACGACGGGGCAGAUUUAUCUAGGCAGAUCCGUGUAAACAGAUUCACAGAUCAGAUACCAACAAUCAGUUGUAGUGUACGGUUCUCCUCUGUCUUACGAAGAUCAACGGUCAUGGAUUCGUAAUGGAUUCAUCAAGUACGGCUCGUCUCCGUCUCACGAGGUUCAAAGGUUGUGAUUUGACCGUCAGAUGUUCGCCUAGUGCCAUAUAUGAAUUUGGGAGAAACUAUUGGUCGACGUUCUGGGUAGUUCAAUUGGGAAAGCAAGCAGGACGAUCCUGGUUCGAUUUAUGAAAGCUAAUCGACUUUCCGUAUUUCCCGAGUUUUCUAUUCUCGAGAUUGCUUUCAAUAGCAUGACGUACUGUUGAUUUCAUAGCAUCGUAACUGAUGUUAAAGAUAUUCAAUGACCUAUGACCGUCAGGUCUCUAUUCAUAGUUUUCAUUUAUUCAUACACGAGGAACGUCGUCAGUGUCACGUAAUUUUUAGGGUUGGUUGGUGAAAAUAAAAUAUAGUUGAGUCGUAACACAACAAUUAACUUUGUUUUAAUCAACCUUUAUUGUAAAUUCACCAAUCACAAUGUAACACGCACUGAAUUAGCAUAAAUCACAAUUCACUCCAACCACGUUAUGUAAGACUUAGUUACAACAAUAUAUUAAGUACGCGACUUAUAAGGGUAGAGACCGAUAUAGAUAUGUUGACUAUUCUAAGGAUACAGAAUAAGUGAAGUUUUACUGACGAUACUGUGUCUGAGGAAAGUUAGGGGUGGGGUGGGGGGGUGUGUCUAAGGACACGGGACUAUCGAAUUUGUUGAUGACAAUUUUAGUUAGGGAAGUGGGGGCAUUAGACACCGUCUCCGAUUGGAUAAUAAGACGGUUGGUGGACCAGGAAGGUCCUCGUGAGAAAGUUGCUAACGGAACAUAUCAGACGUGAGGAAUACCAACUUUCAGCCACUAAAUAUCAUAGCGAUUGUUUUAUAUAUUUUAUCAUUAGACCGAGGAUUUUUGUGCAAAUUCAUAUUUUUAUGAACCUAAUUAAACAAAUGAAAAGUAGAAAUUUGACGGUAAACAUUAGGCAGCUUGUUUUAAACGUGGCAUAAUAGCACGGUAACGGUGCUAUUCGAUAUCCAUCGAGCAAAGUCUAAAAGUAUUUAAAAUAUUUAUCACCCAAUGAAUAUUGCAAUAAGCAUUGUGCUUUAAAUAUCUUUUAUAUUU